rnacentral:lncRNA from 1 species
AAGUGGUAUAUAAUAGAGGCUUACCAUCUUCUCAUUGGAGACAGCAGCAUAACAGCACUUUCACUCUGUUUUCUCUGCCACUGUGAAUAUGGUUCUUUACUUUGGGACAAAAUUUGGCUCUACGGCUUAACCCAAAGUAAAUGCAGUACUCCAGGACUGAAGACCUGGCCUGGGCAGCUAACAGACAACAUAAUCAAGACAAGAGUUCCUGACACAGAGACUGAGAAAAUGAUUCCAGGCUCCUCUGUUUAGUU